CGGAAGUGACGCCCUGCCCGCUCAGGGCGGAAGUUCCCCGCCCCAGCUGUAAGAAUUGGGGUUUGGCUAGAGGCGAGCGAGGAUCCCGGCCGGGCUCCAGUUGUCCACGGCUCCUCCUCCUGUCGCGGCCGGCGUGCUUCCCGGGACUCAGAAUUUCCAGAUUUACCUCCAGAGGUCUUAUGUCAUUGAACAUCCCCACAACGACGUGUGAGAGUGCCUGUUUCUCACAGCCUCACCAACGGAGUGUAUUGUCAAGAAAGGACUGUUAGCUCCAGAUGAGAAAACUGAGACUUUAAGAUCAUUUCCCAAGGUCACAUUGCUGUUAAAUAGUACAGACAAUAUGAUAACCUUAAGAGCCUGAUUCCAGAGCCCAGUCUCCUAAAUUAUACUGUCCUGCAUAUCUGGAU
rnacentral:lncRNA from 1 species